UCUGUUCGUUGCGUCUCGGCUUCUGAUUAGUUGCAGUUUGAUUUCUCUCCGCCUCCCAUCGAUCCAUCUAUCACAAUCUCCUUGUAAGACUUCUUCUCUGUGGCUCUUGAAAUAACAACAAUUUCCCCAGUCUAAAACAGUAUUGGAAGUCAUUGCUGAAGGAGUUUUUGAGAAAUGGAUUCCUGAUUUUUUUUUUGUUUAUGAGACUUAUGAAUGUGAAGGAUACAAUUAGUGUUAUAAGGAGAAUUAACAUGGUUGAGAUCAGGAAUAAGAGGAAAGAAAAUUUGCAGAAGAAGAGACGUGAUAUGUUGAUCAAAAAGGUAAGAAUAACAUGUUUGUGAUUUACUUUUAGUUUCUGAUUUUCUACCUUUUUGAUCAAUCUUAUCGCAUCAGUUUAUUUGAGAUCGAGUUAUUGGCUUAAUGUAUCUUGAUUUGUACUAGACUGAAAGUAUUUGCGAUGUUUAUGUAUUCUUGGGUGAGAGAAUUUGUAAAUCCUUUAAUCCGGACUACUGAUGUUUCUCGAAUUGAUGGGAAAUCUCACCUAGAUUGCUAUAUGGAAUCUUGUUUCAGCUGUUCUUGAGAUGUAUAUCGAAAUCUCAGCAUCAGAUUUUGUUCUGAUGGUUUUUUGGCUCUAACGGUUUUCAUUUCCUCCAAGGUGCUUCUUCCUCUUCUCCGCAUCUUAAGGCUUUGAAGCGUCUCCAUUUUAUUCUUUGAUGUGGUUUUCAGUUCAAGAUGGUUGUCGUCCUCUGUUUUUUGCUUGGUCUGAUGUUUCAGUUGUGUUGGCCUUUUCUCAUUUUGAAUACAGAUUCUUCUAGGUCUCAUCUAGCUGUAGGAGUUGUGGUUCUUCAGAUUUUGUUGUUGGCUGUUUCCAAACUGUGUUUCAAUUUUCACUGCCGGUUUGGUUCUUGCUUAGCAGGUUUGUUUCAAAGGAGUGUUGAAGGUUCUGUCUCUUUUUCUUAACCCGUUAUCUAAAAUCUUUUGAGUUGAGGGUGAAGAUUAUUUUAUUUUAGCUUACUAAGAUUAUUGUCUGCAUACGUUUCUUGAACAAUUAUGGACAUUUUGUUUUGUUUAUUUCUUUACAUGUACUGAUUAUGGAAGCUAAGAGAUCGAAUGAAGAGAAUUUGGGGAGUUUAGCUUAUAAAGAGGAAGGUUUAAAGAAGAAACACUCGCAGAUCCAGAAUCGUUAAUGGUGGUAAGGUUUAGAUGCAGGUCCCCAUAAAGAAUAAUCUGAUUUGUAAAUGCAGGUCCCCACAUUGAGAUGUUAUCUUGAAUGGUUUGUCGUACCUAUUAUGGGUUCUUCACAAAACAUGAAAAACAAAAAAAAACCAGCCAUAUUUUUCUCAUUUUUUUGUUUCAUUUUAUUUUGUUCAUUUCCUUUAUUCAAAUGUAACAUCAAACAAAGAAAAAGUCUAUAAUGUAUUAAAAAAAAUGAUAAUUAUCCAUAAUUUUUC
rnacentral:lncRNA from 1 species